rnacentral:rRNA from 1 species
UACAUAGGGUGCAAGCGUUAUUCGGAAUAACUGGGCGUAAAGGGCGUGUAGGUGGCUUCAGAAGUCUGGCGUUAAAUCUCUUGGCUCAACCAAGAGCUCGCGUUGGAAACCAUGGAGCUUGAGUCCUGCAGGGGUAAGCGGAAUUCCCGGUGUGAGCAGUGAAAUGCGUUGAUAUCGGGAGGAACACCUAUGGCGAAGGCGGCAUCCUGGACCAACACUGACGCUGAGGAGACGAA